AUCUACUUCCUGGAAAGGGGAGGUUGUUCACAGAAGACUACAUUGGUGACUGGUUCAGCUGUUUAGAGGAAAGAGGGUCACAGAUGUUAAAUGCUUGAUGAGUGGAAUUCUGCAUGUUGGGGUGUGUGUGUGUGUGUGUGUGUGUGUGUGUGUGUGUGUGUGUGUGUGUGUACACAUUAGAUACAGUAAGGUUUAGGGGGGAAAACAUGUGGAAUUCUCAUCUUUCAUCUUACAUCUUUCUCACACGUUCAAAUAUUCAUCUCAUGUCCUACGAUAUAUGGUUACCCCUUCGUAGUCUUAAUUUUUAUUGUUUCCAUCAUCUCAAGUUCAUUGAAAAAGAACGAUCUAAAUGACUCAACGUAACGCUGAGGCUCAGACAUUACAU